GAUUAACGCUGGCGGCGUGCAUAACACAUGCAAGUCGAACGAUGAAACUUAACUGAUUUCUUCGGAAUGAUUUUAAGUGGAUUAGUGGCGGACGGGUGAGUAACGCGUGAGUAACCUGCCUUGGAGAAGGGGAUAGCCUUUGGAAACGAAGAAUAAUACCCUAUGAUAUGAUAAUAUCUCAUGAUAUUAUCAUCAAAGAUUUAUCGCUCUAAGAUGGACUUGCGUCUGAUUAGUUAGUUGGUGAGGUAACAGCUCACCAAGGCAGCGAUCAGUAGCCGGCUUGAGGGAGUGUACGGCCACAUUGGGACUGAGACACGGCCCAGACUCCUACGGGAGGCAGCAGUGGGGAAUUUUGCACAAUGGGGGAAACCCUGAUGCAGCGACGCCGCGUGAUUUAGAAGGCCUUCGGGUUGUAAAAAUCUUUUGUAUGGGAAGAAAAUGACAGUACCAUACGAAUAAGGACCGGCUAAUUACGUG
rnacentral:rRNA from 1 species